rnacentral:lncRNA from 1 species
AUCAUCUUAUUGAUCCUCUAAGAGUAAGGAGACUAGCAGAUAAGAAUUUAUAUAUUGUAAAGAAAGGAUAUAUAAGCCAAAGAUCAACAUACCAGUUGAUGGGCAAGAUCAUGCAGCACCCAUAAUGCUGCACAAGAAAGGACAGAGCAUUCACACUGGAUGUAAAGCAAAAAUAUGCAUUAGAAACAAUGAAGUUGGCA